GACGAACGCUGGCGGCGUGCCUAAUACAUGCAAGUCGAACGAACUCUGGUAUUGAUUGGUGCUUGCAUCAUGAUUUACAUUUGAGUGAGUGGCGAACUGGUGAGUAACACGUGGGAAACCUGCCCAGAAGCGGGGGAUAACACCUGGAAACAGAUGCUAAUACCGCAUAACAACUUGGACCGCAUGGUCCGAGCUUGAAAGAUGGCUUCGGCUAUCACUUUUGGAUGGUCCCGCGGCGUAUUAGCUAGAUGGUGGGGUAACGGCUCACCAUGGCAAUGAUACGUAGCCGACCUGAGAGGGUAAUCGGCCACAUUGGGACUGAGACACGGCCCAAACUCCUACGGGAGGCAGCAGUAGGGAAUCUUCCACAAUGGACGAAAGUCUGAUGGAGCAACGCCGCGUGAGUGAAGAAGGGUUUCGGCUCGUAAAACUCUGUUGUUAAAGAAGAACAUAUCUGAGAGUAACUGUUCAGGUAUUGACGGUAUUUAACCAGAAAGCCACGGCUAACUACGUGCCAGCCGCCGCCGUAA
rnacentral:rRNA from 1 species